UUUUUGAGAGAAAUGUGUGUUUUUUGGGAUGAAUCAGGGAUUUCUCGAAGAGAAAAUGCCUCAUUUUCGGGUUAAAUGGGGGACUUUGGAAGAGAAAUUGCAUUUUCUUCUGGUCAAAUGGGGGAUUUUCGAAGAGCAACUGCAUGAUUUUCGUUUACAUGUGAGACUUUUGUAAGAGAAAUGCGUGAUUUUUUGGACAUGGGGGACUCUUGUAGCAAAAAAGUUUGAUUUGGGGUCAAACGGGGAUUUUUGAAGAGCAGAAGUGUGAUUUUCACGUUAAAUGGGGGAUUUUCCAAACAAAAACGUGUGAUUUGGGGGAUAAUGGGGUAUUUUUGAAGAGAUAAUGCAUGAUUUUGGGGUAAAUGCGGGAUUGUUGAAGAAACAGUGCAUGAUUUUGGGGUUAAGGGUGUUUCUAGAAGAGAAAUUGCAUGAUUUUGGGAUAAAUCAGGGAUUCUCGAAGAGAAAUGCCUCAUUUUCGGGUUAAAUGGGGGCUUUGGAAGAGAAAUUGCAUUUUCUUCUGGUCAAAUGGGGGAUUUUCGAAGAGCAACUGCAUGAUUUUCGUUUACAUGUGAGAUUUUGUAGAGGAAAUGCAAUGAUUUUUUGGAAACAUGGGGGACUCUUGUAGCAAAAAAGUUUGAUUUUGGGGUCAAACGGGGGAUUUUUGAAGAGCAGAAGUGUGAUUUUCACGUUAAAUGGGGGAUUUUCCACAAGAAAAUGUGGUGAAUUUGGGGGAUAAUGGGUAUUUUUGAAGAGAUAAUGCAUGAUUUUGGGGUAAAUGUGAGAUUUUCCAAGAGAAAAGGCAAGAUGUUCGGGUUGAAUGGGGGACUUUGCAAGAGAAGUUGUGUGAUUUUGGGAUAAAAGGGGAUUUUUGAGAGAAAAUGUGUGAUUUUUGUUUAAAGGGGGUAUUUUUGAGGAGAUAAUGCAUGAUUCUGGGGUUAAGUGGGGGAUUGUUGAAGAGACAGUGCAUGAUUUUGGGGUUAAGGGGUGUUUCUAGAAGAGAAAUUGCUGAUUUUUGGGAUAAUCAGGGAUUCUCGAAGAGAAAAUGCCUCAUUUUCGGGUUAAAUGGGGGACUUUGGAAGAGAAAUUGCAUUUUCUUCUGGUCAAAUGGGGGAUUUUCGAAGAGCAACUGCAUGAUUUUCGUUACAUGUGAGACUUUUGUAGAGGAAAUGCGUGAUUUUUUGGAAACAUGGGGGACUCUUGUAGCAAAAAAGUUUGAUUUUGGGGUCAAACGGGGGAUUUUUGAAGAGCAGAAGUGUGAUUUUCACGUUAAAUGGGGGAUUUUCCACAAGAAAAUGUGUGAAUUUGGGGAUAAUGGGUAUUUUUGAAGAGAUAAUGCAUGAUUUUGGGGUAAAUGUGAGAUUUUCCAAGAGAAAAGGCAAGAUGUUCGGGUUGAAUGGGGGACUUUGCAAGAGAAGUUGUGUGAUUUUGGGGAUAAAGGGGGAUUUUUGAGGAGAAAAUGUGUGAUUUUUGUUUAAAGGGGGUAUUUUUGAGGAGAUAAUGCAUGAUUCUGGGGGUUAAGUGGGGGAUUGUUGAAGAGACAGUGCAUGAUUUUCGGGUUAAGGGGUGUUUCUAGAAGAGAAAACGCGUGAUUUUCGGGUUUAAAGAGCUACUUUUGAAGAGAAUGUGCGUGAUUUUCAGUUUAAAUCAGGGAUUCUCAAAGAGAAAAUGUGUGAUUUUUGUUUAAAGGGGGUAUUUUUGAAGGGAAAAUGUGUGAUUUUCAGUUAAAUUGUGGAAUCUCUAAGAGAAAAUGCCUGAUGUUUGCAUUAAAUGUGUGAUUUUCGUAGAGAUAAUGCGUGAUGUUCAGGUUACGUGGCAGAUUUUUGAAGAGAAAAUGCGUGAUUUUGGGGAUAAAUCAGGGAUUCUCGAAGAGAAAAUGCCUCAUUUUCGGGUUAAAUGGGGGACUUUGGAAGAGAAAUUGCAUUUCUUCUGGUCAAAUGGGGGAUUUUCGAAGAGCAACUGCCAUGAUUUUCGUUUACAUGUGAGACUUUUGUAGAGGAAAUGCGUGAUUUUUUGGAAACAUGGGGGACUCUUGUAGCAAAAAAGUUUGAUUUUGGGGUCAAACGGGGGAUUUUUGAAGAGCAGAAGUGUGAUUUUCACGUUAAAUGGGGGGAUUUUCCACAAGAAAC
rnacentral:lncRNA from 7 species